rnacentral:misc_RNA from 1 species
GCCCUGUUUGCUUCAUAUUUGAAUUCAAUCUCCCUGCUAACGCGUCAAGAAGGGUAGACUUGCCACAACCUGAAGGACCCAUUAUAGCCAGCAGCUCACCAGGUUGGGCAUAACCAGUUACGCCCUGCAGGAUGGAUUUGCUACCUUUUCUUCCAUUUGAAACAGUCACCCACAAGUCCUCCCAAGUCAAGUAAACACCAUCAGUAACACCACACUCAGCAGCAGCACCACCUCCUUCUCUUCCAUUUCUAGUGGUUGGCAGUGGAUUCGUCGUUUCCACUUCUAAUGCAGUCAUAAUUUCUUGGUCACUAUGCAUAGAAGCCAUGGCGUAUGUUUUCUGUUGAAGUGUGAGAAAGAAAGGAAG